rnacentral:tRNA from 2 species
GUUGCGGUGGCCGAGUGGUUAAGGCGUUGGACUAGAAAUCCAAUGGGAUCUUCCCGCGCAGGUUCCAAUCCUGCCGCAACG